CCUACGGGAGGCAGCAGUGGGGAAUAUUGGGCAAUGGGCGCAAGCCUGACCCAGCAACGCCGCGUGAAGGAAGAAUGCGCUCGGGUUGUUAACUUCUUUUCUGCGGGACGAACAAAUGACGGUACCUCAGGAAUAAGCCACGGCUGACUACGUGGCAUCAGCUGAGGUCAUACGAAGGGGGCAAGCGAUAUCCGGGAUGAGUGGGUGAAAAGGGCGUGUAGGCGGGAAUGGAAGUCAGAUGUGAAAAUUCAGGGCUCAACCCUGAGCGUGCAUUUGAAACUGGGUUGCUUGAGUGCAGGAGAGGAAAGCGGAAUUCGGUGUGUAGCGGUGAAAUGCGUAGAUAUAGGGAAGAACCCCGAUGGCGAAGGCGGAUUGCUGGACAGUAACUGACGCUGAGGCGCGAAAGCGUGGGGAGCAAACAGGAUUAGAUACCCGUGUAGUC
rnacentral:rRNA from 1 species